rnacentral:lncRNA from 1 species
GCCGUGACCUUAUCUUGGAAAGUGAAGAGAGCGAAGUCCUUCCUCUAAAGAAGCCCGAGCACAACGGGUACCAAGAUCAAAAUUCAUCGUCGUGGUUAUUCAAUAUACAAGAGUCUCAAUCCGUUUUCUUUCCAGCCGGAGAUAUAGCAGCUCGGCGCCGCACUAUGCUCCGCUUCAACAAAUGAUAGUUUUCGGUGGAACCGGUGAAC